AAUCUGCAUCUUCUGAAAGACUUUGAUGCUCCUUCUGCUACUUGGGUAUCUAGUUUAACACCACUGGCUUCUCAAAUGUCAUGCUUAAAAUAGGCUUUAACUUUCUAAUACUAAGUGAAUACUGUUGGAGAUUCAGAAAAUCUACAGUUUGAAUGGAUUUCUUGUUCAUCUUAUGGAACCUCAGGUUUAAUUCAAUGAAGCUGAUGACCUGGUGACCUUUGUGGUGUCCUGAUAGUCUCCAGAAUGCAAACCUUCAAACAGAGAUGCUGAAAAGUAAAAUUAUUCAUCAAAUCUAAAGAGCAGAUGAGAAGUCGCUCAAAGGAGAAGACAAUUGUAUGGAGCAAAAUGCAGACGAUUGGAAUGAAUACAUGAUACUGUACACUGAUCCACUUUCCUUUGUUUUCUCUUUCCAUGAUAACGAAAUCAAUCAGCCUUAUGGACAAUGGUCAGAUAUAACCAGGGAGCCCUCAUUGCAUUAAUCCAUCUUCCAGUGCCUACAAAGGGUUUAUAAGAGAGCUGGAGAGUGGCUUCCUUUAGGGCCAUGUACAAAUAGGACAAAGUAGUGGCUCCAAACUGAAAGGGAGUAGGUUUAGGUUAGAUAUUGGGAAGAAAUUCUUAACUGUGAGGGUGGUGAGGCUCUGGAACAGUUUUCCCAGAGAAGUUGUGGAUGUACCAUCCCUGGAAGUGUUCAAGGCCGGGUUGGAUGGGGUUGUGGGUAACCUGGUCCAGGGAAAGGUGUUCCUGUCCAUGGCAGGGGGCGAUUGUCAUCAUCACCAAGGAAUUAUUCUUAGUAUAUAAGUACAUAUUUUAGACUUAUAUAUGUAUGUAUAAAAUUACUAUUAAAUUUAAUUUUUUAUUGUUUAAGUAUUGACUAGAGGGUUGUGAUUUAGAUAGUUUGCAAUUUCUGAAUAAAAGUAAAUAACUUAAUUAAAUAUUACAUUACAGCCUCUGGGAAAUAUUACCUACAUUUUAAGUAGAAAGGGAAAAAAGUUUGAAUAUAUUAAUGAGGAGUUGCAAAGAUUUAUGCCUGCACUAAAAGAAACAGUAAACAUAGCCGUGAUCAGAUAAUUUUUUUUAUCUAGGAGCAUAAAGAAUAGGACACAUGCAUCCAUUAUAUCUAAACUUUUAAUAAAUCUUGGUAUAUUUCACCUUUACUCAUGCAAAUGCCUUGUCAUCUUCUUGCUGUAUUGUAAACUUCAAGGUAGGUUUUUUAUCUAGUUGUCACCUGUUGAACACCAACACAAACCAUUUAUUUGGACUACAUUACAAAAACAUACUGCAGUUUAGCUCACAGAUAAGUUACAAUUAUGUUAAACAAAUAAUUUUUUCUUCCCUGGUUGCUUUUGCAUCAGUGAUUCAACAGCAAUUUGCUCUUUUACUAGCUAAACAAAAUUUUUGUCACAGGUGCAAUCUUUCCUCUGUUAUUUAUGCUCAUAAAUAAUAAGUUCCUGCACUGUAAUAUAUAUAAUAUUUUACCAAUUUGUGGGCUGAUUCUUCUUAAAGUAAGUUUUGGAAUUAAGUUCCUAGCAUUAUCUAUUAUGAAUA